rnacentral:rRNA from 1 species
GGGUUGUGAGGUUAAGCGACUAAGCGUACACGGUGGAUGCCCUGGCAGUCAGAGGCGAUGAAGGACGUGCUAAUCUGCGAAAAGCGUCGGUAAGGUGAUAUGAACCGUUACAGCCGGCGAUGUCCGAAUGGGGAAACCCAGUGCAAUUCGUUGCACUAUCGUUAACUGAAUACAUAGGUUAACGAGGCGAACCGGGGGAACUGAAACAUCUAAGUACCCCGAGGAAAAGAAAUCAACCGAGAUUCCCCCAGUAGCGGCGAGCGAACGGGGAGCAGCCCAGAGUCUGAAUCAGCUUGUGUGUUAGUGGAACGGUCUGGAAAGUCCGACGGUACAGGGUGAUAGUCCCGUACACCAAAAUGCACAGGUUGUGAACUCGAAGAGUAGGGCGGGACACGUGGUAUCCUGUCUGAAUAUGGGGGGACCAUCCUCCAAGGCUAAAUACUCCUGACUGACCGAUAGUGAACCAGUACCGUGAGGGAAAGGCGAAAAGAACCCCGGCGAGGGGAGUGAAAAAGAACCUGAAACCGUGUACGUACAAGCAGUGGGAGCACCUUCGGGUGUGACUGCGUACCUUUUGUAUAAUGGGUCAGCGACUUAUAUUCUGUAGCAAGGUUAACCGU